AGUGAACGCUGGCGGUAGGCCUAACACAUGCAAGUCGAACGGCAGCACAGUAAGAGCUUGCUCUUACGGGUGGCGAGUGGCGGACGGGUGAGGAAUACAUCGGAAUCUACUUUUUCGUGGGGGAUAACGUAGGGAAACUUACGAUAAUACCGCAUACGACCUACGGGUGAAAGCAGGGGAUCUUCGGACCUUGCGCGAUUGAAUGAGCCGAUGUCGGAUUAGCUAGUUGGCGGGGUAAAGGCCCACCAAGGCGACGAUCCGUAGCUGGUCUGAGAGGAUGAUCAGCCACACUGGAACUGAGACACGGUCCAGACUCCUACGGGAGGCAGCAGUCGGGAAUAUUGGACAAAGGGCGCAAGCCUGAUCCAGCCAUACCGCGUGGGUGAAGAAGGCCUUCGGGUUGUAAAGCCCUUUUGUUGGGAAAGAAAAGCAGCAGGUUAAUACCCCGCUGUUCUGACGGUACCCAAAGAAUAAGCACCGGCUAACUUCGUG
rnacentral:rRNA from 1 species